AUGACCAGUUUUAGGAACUGUCAGCACUGCAGUUAGGGAAGAAGUGGAGCAGAUGAUGUUGAGAGACUCAAACAAAGUCAGGUAUUCCUGGAGAUUGGCUCUCAGUCCCAGGGAGGAAAACCGGAUGAGUCCUGUAUAGUCUGGCCAUUAUGGCAUUGUCUGGGACUUUGACUGAACUCACAAAGGCUCUUUGUGAUGCCAGUUGAACUCCCUAGAGGAAAAGGGGUGUUCUGCUUCGUGGGUGUGGCGAGUACACACCUCUUCAGCAAAACCAGCAAGACGACCAAGUGCGCAGUUUUCACUGCCACUGCCAGGAACUGGGAAAAUGAUCUUGGCUAAUAUUCCUGGGGAUCCCUGUCUCCCAGGAGCAACCAUGAUGUAUUCACUCACUACUGCCUGCAGAUUGAGGUAGCUCUGGGAUCAGGAUAAGCUGGCCCCUCUACGAAGGAGGUGGGCCCCAUGGCUUCAAUUCUCUGCAGCAGAUUCCCAGCCAGGUAUUAAACAAAGGAAGUAAAGUUUUGCCUGAAUGAC